rnacentral:rRNA from 1 species
CUACGGGGGGCUGCAGUGGGGAAUAUUGGACAAUGGGCGCAAGCCUGAUCCAGCAAUGCCGCGUGAGUGAAGACGGCCUUAGGGUUGUAAAACUCUUUCGCUAGGGAAGAUAAUGACUGUACCUAGUAAAGAAGUCCCGGCUAACUCCGUGCCAGCAGCCACGGUAAUACGGAGGGGACUAGCGUUGUUCGGAAUUACUGGGCGUAAAGAGUUCGUAGGCGGACUGACAAGUUAGAGGUGAAAUCCCAGGGCUCAACCCUGGAACUGCCUUUAAAACUGUCAGUCUAGAGACCGGAAGAGGUUAGGGGAAUACCUAGUGUAGAGGUGAAAUUCGUAGAUAUUAGGUGGAACACCAGUGGCGAAGGCGCCUAACAGGUCCGGUACUGACGCUGAGGAACGAAAGCGUGGGGAGCAAACAGGAUUAGAUACCCGGGUAGUC